GACGUAGGGCGCGAGCGUUGUCCGGAUUUAUUGGGCGUAAAGAGCUCGUAGGCGGCUUGUCGCGUCGAAUGUGAAAACUCGGGGCUCAACUCCGAGCUUGCAUUCGAUACGGGCAGGCUAGAGUUCGGUAGGGGAGACUGGAAUUCCUGGUGUAGCGGUGAAAUGCGUAGAUAUCUGGAGGAACACCGGUGGCGAAGGCGGCAUCCUGGACCAACACUGACGCUGAGUGAGCGAAAGCCAGGGGAGCAAACGGG
rnacentral:rRNA from 1 species